rnacentral:rRNA from 1 species
AUACGGAGGAUCCGAGCGUUAUCCGGAUUUAUUGGGUUUAAAGGGUGCGCAGGCGGCCGUUUAAGUCAGCGGUUAAAUCGUGGGGCUCAACCCCAUUCUGCCGUUGAUACUGGGUGGCUUGAUUGCGGUCGAGGUUGGCGGAAUUCGUUGUGUAGCGGUGAAAUGCAUAGAUAUGACGAAGAACACCGAUUGCGUAGGCAGCCGACCAGACCGCAAAUGACGCUCAUGCACGAAAGUGCUGGGAUCGAACAGGAUUAGAUACCCUGGUAGUGCGCACAGUAAACGAUGAAUACUUGUUUUCGGCGAUAUAAUGUCGGAGGCAAAGCGAAAGCGAUAAGUAUUCCACCUGGGGAGUACGCCGGCAACGGUGAAACUCAAAUGAAUUGACGGGG